GAUUUAAACAAAUCUCAUCUCAAAUUAAUAUUAUUAAAGCCACAAAUUAUCUUAAUAGCUACAUUCUACAUAAAUACUUCGGUCUGCCAGAAAAACUAGGCGAGACCCGAAGCUCAGAAAAUUUACAACUGAUACAUUUACUAUUACUACUGCGGAGAAUCUAAGAUUUACCAAUUUACAUACCAAAUCAAAUACAUCACUCGAUGAUGAAGGAGUCGGGUUACUGAAUAAGAGUCGCGGGAGAACUAACAGUCACGAAUCUGAAAAAAACAUAAAUGGAGACUGUCAGUCUCGAGAGUGAGUUAAAAUCAAA
rnacentral:lncRNA from 1 species